CUCGCAAAAGACAAAGCUUGCCUCUUCAUUUCACUUCCUAUCUUCACGGCUAAGCAAUGAACUAGCUUAGUCUAGUUUUGCUUUCUUGCUAUUUGUUGCUUAAAAUUUUAUGAUUAUCUUUAGCAAACUUGGUCAUUAUCCUUUCUUUCUUCCUAGCAGCAAGUAUAAGAAUAGCCAUAAAGUUCGACGGCUAAAUUAAAAAACAUCACUAAUAGCUUUAUCACAACCACCGCCACCCCUACUUGUUCAAGGCGGUGCCACCCCUCCCUUGCCGUUGACAAGUCACCCCGACGCGGCCUCUGAUUGCAGCCCACUCUUCUUCUUUCUCCAUGUUCGUGAUAUAUAUGUUCUGUUCUUACCGAGACACAAGUGGUCUUUUAAAACCAAGUUCUUGAAUUGAACCUACUUCUUUUCAAUAUCACCAAAGUGAGUUUACUUUGUUACUUUUAAUUUUGGUUAUGACUCUUAUGAGAAUGAUUUCAUACUUUGUAUUUCACUAUUACUUUUCCUUGAUAAUAAUAACAUGAGUAGUACCUAUGUUAUGCUAUUUUAUACUUGUUUAUUUUCUAAAAUAAUCACUUGACAUAAGAAAUGAUUUUACUGUAUUUCGUAUGAUAAAUCCUCUAAAAUGAGUCUUAUUAAUGCUUUCAUACUUAAAUUAUUAAAGAGAUUAGAGUUUUCAAUUCAUUUACUCUACUAAUAUGAAUAGUAGUAUGUAGUAUCUAUUUUAUAAGUAGUUCUUGUUUUACUCUGAAUUAUGUAACAGUUGUUUUAUUCUAUGAAAAUAAGUUAAUAUUUGUUUUUAUCAAAGAUUUUGAAUUAAGGAAGUUACUAAUGAGUAUUUAUUAUUAUUGGGUAUGAUCAAAUGAGUCAUGACAAUGAGGAACUAAUGACGGAGGUUGAGAGUUCGAAUAAUGAUUAUUGGAGAAUGAGUGAGAUGAUUAAAGAUGAUCAAAUUAGGGAUAAUGAUGACAGAGCUGAAGUUAAUCUAAAGCAAAGGGAUUAAAGGAAUUUAUUUAGUUCAGGGAUUAUGGAAUCAAGGCUUAUGUAUUAGGGAUCAUCGAGAGCUGAGAUAUAUUGAUUAUUUUAUUACAGUAAGGAAGACUGGAGUUGUAUUUUUUUUAUUGAAUAUUCUCAUUAAGGAGUAUGUUUAUUUGUGGGCCUAUAACCCACAGGUGG